rnacentral:rRNA from 1 species
UACGUAGGGUGCAGGCGUUAAUCGGAAUUACUGGGCGUAAAGCGUGCGCAGGCGGUUUGCUAAGACAGGUGUGAAAUCCCCGGGCUUAACCUGGGAACUGCGCUUGUAACUGGCAAGCUAGAGUGUGGCAGAGGGGGGUGGAAUUCCACGUGUAGCAGUGAAAUGCGUAGAGAUGUGGAGGAACACCGAUGGCGAAGGCAGCCCCCUGGGCCGGUACUGACGCUGAGGCGCGAAAGCGUGGGUAGCAAACGGG